rnacentral:tRNA from 1 species
UUAGGUUAGAGUGUUAGGUUGUGGUCCUAAAUGCCAUGGGUUCAAAUCCCAUUAUUC